rnacentral:rRNA from 1 species
CGAAAAGAACCCCGGCGAGGGGAGUGAAAAAGAACCAGAAACCGUGUACGUACAGUCAGGGGGAGCACGCUUAGGCGUGGGUCUGCGUACCUUUUGUAUAAUGGGUCAGCGACUUAUAUUCUGUAGCAAGGUUAACCGAAUAGGGGAGCCGAAGGGAAACCGAGUCUUAACUGGGCGUUAAGUUGCAGGGUAUAGACCCGAAACCCGGUGAUCUAGCCAUGGGCAGGUUGAAGGUUGGGUAACACUAACUGGAGGACCGAACCGACUAAUGUUGAAAAAUUAGCGGAUGACUUGUGGCUGGGGGUGAAAGGCCAAUCAAACCGGGAGAUAGCUGGUUCUCCCCGAAAGCUAUUUAGGUAGCGCCUCGUGAAUUCAUCUCCGGGGGUAGAGCACUGUUUCGGCAAGGGGGUCAUCCCGACUUACCAACCCGAUGCAAACUGCGAAUACCGGAGAAUGUUAUCACGGGAGACACACGGCGGGUGCUAACGUCCGUCGUGAAGAGGGAAACAACCCAGACCGCCAGCUAAGGUCCCAAAGUCAUGGUUAAGUGGGAAACGAUGUGGGAAGGCCCAGACAGCCAGGAUGUUGGCUUAGAAGCAGCCAUCAUUUAAAGAAAGCGUAAUAGCUCACUGGUCGAGUCGGCCUGCGCGGAAGAUGUAACGGGGCUAAACCAUGCACCGAAGCUGCGGCAGCGACGCUUAUGCGUUGUUGGGUAGGGGAGCGUUCUGUAAGCCUGUGAAGGUGUGCUGUGAGGCAUGCUGGAGGUAUCAGAAGUGCGAAUGCUGACAUAAGUAACGAUAAAGCGGGUGAAAAGCCCGCUCGCCGGAAGACCAAGGGUUCCUGUCCAACGUUAAUCGGGGCAGGGUGAGUCGACCCCUAAGGCGAGGCCGAAAGGCGUAGUCGAUGGGAAACAGGUUAAUAUUCCUGUACUUGGUGUUACUGCGAAGGGGGGACGGAGAAGGCUAUGUUGGCCGGGCGACGGUUGUCCCGGUUUAAGCGUGUAGGCUGGUUUUCCAGGCAAAUCCGGAAAAUCAAGGCUGAGGCGUGAUGACGAGGCACUACGGUGCUGAAGCAACAAAUGCCCUGCUUCCAGGAAAAGCCUCUAAGCAUCAGGUAACAUCAAAUCGUACCCCAAACCGACACAGGUGGUCAGGUAGAGAAUACCAAGGCGCUUGAGAGAACUCGGGUGAAGGAACUAGGCAAAAUGGUGCCGUAACUUCGGGAGAAGGCACGCUGAUAUGUAGGUGAAGUCCCUCGCGGAUGGAGCUGAAAUCAGUCGAAGAUACCAGCUGGCUGCAACUGUUUAUUAAAAACACAGCACUGUGCAAACACGAAAGUGGACGUAUACGGUGUGACGCCUGCCCGGUGCCGGAAGGUUAAUUGAUGGGGU